rnacentral:rRNA from 1 species
AUUGAACGCUGGCGGCAGGCUUAACACAUGCAAGUCGAGCGGAGAGAGGUAGCUUGCUACUGAUCUUAGCGGCGGACGGGUGAGUAAUGCUCAGGAAUCUGCCUAUUAGUGGGGGACAACAUUUCGAAAGGAAUGCUAAUACCGCAUACGUCCUACGGGAGAAAGCAGGGGAUUUUCGGACCUUGCGCUAAUAGAUGAGCCUAAGUCGGAUUAGCUAGUUGGUGGGGUAAAGGCCUACCAAGGCGACGAUCUGUAGCGGGUCUGAGAGGAUGAGCCGCCACACUGGGACUGAGACACGGCCCAGACUCCUACGGGAGGCAGCAGUGGGGAAUAUUGGACAAUGGGCGGAAGCCUGAUCUAGCCAUGCCGCGUGUGUGAAGAAGGCCUUAUGGUUGUAAAGCACUUUAAGCGAGGAGGAGGCUACUUUAGUUAAUACCUAGAGAUAGUGGACGUUACUCGCAGAAUAAGCACCGGCUAACUCUGUGCCAGCCGCCGCCGUAA